UGGGGAAUAUUGGACAAUGGGGGGAACCCUGAUCCAGCCAUGCCGCGUGUGUGAAGAAGGCCUUAUGGUUGUAAAGCACUUUAAGCGAGGAGGAGGCUCUCUUGGUUAAUACCCAAGAUGAGUGGACGUUACUCGCAGAAUAAGCACCGGCUAACUCUGUGCCAGCAGCCGCGGUAAUACAGAGGGUGCGAGCGUUAAUCGGAUUUACUGGGCGUAAAGCGUGCGUAGGCGGCUUUUUAAGUCGGAUGUGAAAUCCCCGAGCUUAACUUGGGAAUUGCAUUCGAUACUGGGAAGCUAGAGUAUGGGAGAGGAUGGUAGAAUUCCAGGUGUAGCGGUGAAAUGCGUAGAGAUCUGGAGGAAUACCGAUGGCGAAGGCAGCCAUCUGGCCUAAUACUGACGCUGAGGUACGAAAGCAUGGUGAGCAAACAGG
rnacentral:rRNA from 1 species